GAUGAAGAACGUAGCGAAAUGCGAUAAGUAGUGUGAAUUGCAGAAUUCAGUGAAUCAUCAAAUCUUUGAACGCACAUUGCGCCCCAUGGUAUACCGUGGGGCAUGCCUGUUCGAGCGUCAUUUACCCCCUCAAGCUCCGCUUGGUGUUGGGCGUCUGUCCCGCUUCGCGCGCGGACUCGCCCCAAAGGUAUUGGCAGCGGUCGUGCCAGCUUCUCGCGCAGCACAUUGCGCUUCUCGAGGCACCGGUGGGCCCGCGUCCAUCAAGCUCACCCCCCCAGUUUGACCUCGGAUCAGGUAGGGAUACCCGCUGAACUUAAGCAUAUCAAUAAGCGGAGGA
rnacentral:misc_RNA from 1 species